rnacentral:misc_RNA from 1 species
UUGCUGUAUAUGUAAUGUUUACAUAAAACCACCCAGAGAAUUAGAUAGCUGGAUUUUAAUUCUGUAAAUUGAAGGAAGAAUAUUCAAAUGCUAUUGAAUCAUACUGUAAUGGUACAGAAUUCAUUUUAAUCAGCAAUAAUCAUUGAAAUUGCUUAAGCUGGAAUUAAGUGUAUCCCAUAUGUUUUAUGGUCAGGAUGCAAGCUCUCAAUGCUCUUAUAUGCCUGGAUAUUUUCCCAUAACCAUAA